rnacentral:rRNA from 1 species
GACGAACGCUGGCGGCGUGCUUAACACAUGCAAGUCGAACGGUGAAGCGCCUUCCUUUUUGGUGGGUGUGGAUGAGUGGCGAACGGGUGAGUAACACGUGAGUAACCUGCCCCCUUCUUCUGGAUAACCGCAUGAAAGUGUGGCUAAUACGGGAUAUUCUGGGUCUGUCGCAUGAUGGGUCUGGGAAAGAUAUUGUUUCGGUGGGGGAUGGGCUCGCGGCCUAUCAGCUUGUUGGUGGGGUGAUGGCCUACCAAGGCGGUGACGGGUAGCCGGCCUGGGAGGGUGGACGGUCACACUGGGACUGAGACACGGCCCAGACUCCUACGGGAGGCAGCAGUGGGGAGUAUUGCACAAUGGGCGCAAGCCUGAUGCAGCGACGCCGCGUGAGGGAUGGAGGCCUUCGGGUUGUGAACCUCUUUCGCCAGUGAAGCAGGCCUGCCUCGUUUGUGGGUGGGUUGACGGUAGCUGGAUAAGAAGCGCCGGCUAACUACGUG